rnacentral:lncRNA from 1 species
AAAUGCACCAGAAACAGGUGUUUCUGUUGGUGCUGCACCCACGAACCAGCAUUUGGUAACCAACCCAGGCACAAGCCUCACUCAGCUUUCCGUCAGUUCACACGUGCAACACGCAGAUGCACCACAUGCCCCUCAACACGGGCACAAGCAUGCACACGCUCAGUAAAAUGAAGAGGUCUUUAACAAUCUAGGAAUUAACAGGUAAAGUUUACCUAUUCUGAUUCUAGUGUUUCCAUAUGUUGGGAUUUACUGUGGGUGAAAAAUACUGUGAAGGUCACAGGACAGUAUUUUCCUGAAACUGAAUAGAUGGCAUUUAAAAUUCACAUGUUUCCUGAAUUCACUAAUUUUUAAUUUUUCAGUCUUUCAGGAUUUCUAAGGAGUAGGAGGAAUUCAAAGAAGGGAGGAGGAGGAAGAGAAGGAGAAAGAGAGGAGAAGGGGGGAGAGAAAGGAAAAGAAGAAAAUAAUGCUGGAAAUCUCAACAGUAUCGGACAUUACUACUAAUAUUUGGUUCCCAGCCCUUAUAAGUACCUGCCGAUGAAGGGACAGUGACUGACAGCACCAGAAAGGGUAAUCUUGAUCUACAGUGAGCUGACUGGGAAGAAGAAGAUCAAAAAUAUAAGAGUGAGCCAUAUACUAACUGGUCAAAGAGGCACUUGUCUCUUGGAAAUUCCAGUGUGUCAGCUGGCUUCUGAAAUUACCAAAAAUGAGACGGGUCCAUUCAGAUGUGUCCUUGGGAAUUUCUGCUAGAUAAGGCAAUUACAGGACAUGCGUCUACCCCAAGAUGGCAGAUACUGGCAGACCCCACCAAGAGAGAUCACCCACCAUGAUGCAGACCAGGUACUGAGUGGCUUGGCCUUAUUCUUGUGAUAGAUUCCCAUCUACAUGGGUGUCUUGCGUCCCAGGCCACCACAGUAAUUUCUAUGAAAAUGGUAACGUGAGCUCUGUUUGUUCCCAAGGAUUAAAUUGUAGAGGCAUGAUGUUAAAUCUUCACUGGUUAAAUAUAAUCAUGCUCCAGUGUUGACUUAUCUGUGUUUCAAAGUGUUGGGAUUUACAAGUGGUUACAUUUGCCGUGCGCCUUGCACUCUCACUUUUCAAUCCUAACUAACCCUCUAUUACUACCCCCAUGUCUAGCACCAGAUCCGCUGAGGCCUCCAACCAGAUUCCCUUCCCUAUGCCCUGCCAGUC